CCAAUAGCGUAUAUUAAAGUUGUUGCAGUUAAAAAGCUCGUAGUUGAAUUUCGGGAUCAAUAUGUCGGUCGUGCCUUCGGUACGUACUGGUAUCAUUGGUCUCUCCUUUCUGACGAACCAUGAUGUCAUUAAUUUGGUGUUAUGGGGAGUUAGGACUGUUACUUUGAAAAAAUUAGAGUGUUUAAAGCAGGCUUUAGCUUGAAUACAUUAGCAUGGAAUAAUGAAAUAGGACGUUCGAACCUAUUUUGUUGGUUUCUAGGAUCAACGUAAUGAUUAAUAGGGAUAGUUGGGGGCAUUAGUAUUCAAUUGUCAGAGGUGAAAUUCUUGGAUUUAUUGAAGACUAACUACUGCGAAAGCAUUUGCCAAGGAUGUUUUCAUUAAUCAAGAACGAAAGUUAGGGGAUCGAAGACGAUCAGAUACCGCCGUAGUCUUAACCAUAAACUAUGCCGACUAGGGAUCGGAUGAUGUUAAUUUUUUAAUGACUCAUUCGGCGCCUUACG
rnacentral:rRNA from 1 species